CCUACGGGUGGCAGCGGUGGGGGAUAUUGCACAAUGGGGGAAACCCUGAUGCAGCGACGCCGCGUGGGUGAAGAAGCGCCUCGGCGCGUAAAGCCCUGUCAGCAGGGAAGAAAAUGACGGUAGCUGAAGAAGAAGCCCCGGCUAACUACGGGCCAGCAGCCGCGGUAAUACGUAGGGGGCAAGCGUUAUCCGGAUUUACUGGGUGUAAAGGGGGCGCAGACGGCGAUGCAAGCCAGGAGGGAAAGCCCGGGGCCCAACCCCGGGACUGCUCUUGAAACUGCGUGGCUAGAGUGCAGGAGGGGCAGGCGGAAUUCCUGGUGUAGCGGUGAAAUGCGUAGAUAUCAGGAGGAACACCGGUGGCGAAGGCGGCCUGCUGGACUGCAACUGACGUUGAGGCCCGAAAGCGUGGGGAGCAAACAGGAUUAGAUACCCGGGUAGUC
rnacentral:rRNA from 1 species